UACGAAGGGGGCUAGCGUUGUUCGGAAUUACUGGGCGUAAAGCGCACGUAGGCGGAUCUGUAAGUCAGGGGUGAAAUCCCGGGGCUCAACCUCGGAACUGCCUUUGAUACUGCAAGUCUCGAGUCCGAUAGAGGUGAGUGGAAUUCCUAGUGUAGAGGUGAAAUUCGUAGAUAUUAGGAAGAACACCAGUGGCGAAGGCGGCUCACUGGAUCGGUACUGACGCUGAGGUGCGAAAGCGUGGGGAGCAAACAGG
rnacentral:rRNA from 1 species